GAGCACGUAGGUGGGUUUGUAAGUCAGAUGUGAAAGCCUUCUGUUCAACGGGAGAAUUGCAUCUGAAACUGCUAAUCUUGAGUAUAGGAGGGGAGAAUGGAACUUCUGGUGGAGCGGUGAAAUGCGUAGAUAUCAGAAGGAACGCCGGCGGCGAAAGCGAUUCUCUGGCCUAUUACUGACACUCAGUGUGCGAAAGCUAGGGGAGCAAACGGGAUAGAUACCCCGGUAGCAGCUGUG
rnacentral:rRNA from 1 species